GGGGCUGAUAUAGCGUUCGACGUAGAGAAUUUAACAGGUUGUUUUGCGUACCGACUUCUGACGUUAUCAGAAUUAAUAGUUGCAAACUUUGCAAACAAAGCGAAGGCGUUUGUUGCAUCAUUGAUGCCACGGCAGACAGCCUUUGCGCUAGCUGCGUAAUAUUACUGGCAGCCGCAUCCGCCUAGAUUCUUGCUAUAGGCUAGGUGUGUCAUAUCUAGCAAGAUCGGUUAAUUGAUAUUUCUGCUAUAUCAUUAAUUAAGAUUUUAAGCAGAUCGCUAGUUCGUAUGUUUGUCUAGCUUUGAGCGGAUAAGCGAUUAUUUAACGAGUUAGACUAUGUGCGUAGACAAACAACAGGUUACUCUGCGGACCCGGGGGCAGUACCCGGCAGCUCCACCA
rnacentral:tmRNA from 1 species